UUUUUAAAUAAGGGUUUAAUUCGUAAUUUUAGCUAAAAAGGGAUUUAAAAGAAAAAGAAAUUCGAAAUUAGAAUUAAAAAGAAAUUUGAAAAGAAGGAAUUUAGUGGGCCAAGCCCAAAAAGGAAAAGGAAAAGGAAAAAAAAAAAGAAGUUAAAGACUUCAAAAGUCUGCUGGUUAUCAGAUGUGAAGGUUUAAUUGUGGACAGCUGAAAGGAAAUAAAAGAUACCAAGCAACAGAGGGAGAAAAACCAGUGGAAAAAAAAAAAAGGAGAAAAAAAAAGGAAACGAGGGGAUAAAAAUAAGGACUUUCAUCCCAAAUCAUCAAGGUAUUGAUUCUAAUCUUUUAUUUAAGUUUAUUACAUAAUUAUGGGUGAAUCUUUAUGGUGAAAAUAUGGGGAUAUUUUGAGGAAUUGAGAAAGUUUAGCUCUAGGGUUCUUCAAUUAAAAUCAUUAAUUUGAAAGGGCAAAUAGCGUCGGAUUUUAGACUUCUAUAUAUCAUUGGAAUCCUCUCGUUAAGGCCUUUCUGAAAACAUAUGUCUUGUCGGGUUUUGAACACAUUAACCAGAAGGCAUUUUCGUCCUUUAAAAUUUGACUUUAACCGUUUAAGCCUCCAAAAAUAUAGAGGUGGUUUAACCUAAGGGUUUUGACCAUUCUAAAUCCGUUUUUGUGUAGUUUGAGGCAAUCCGGAGACUCGAGAACGCAGUUUUGAUUUAUUGGGAAGUGCGCUUGAAUAGUAAAUUUGAGAUACUGUCAUUGAGAACGAGGCUGGUAAUUGAAGAUUUCGUGAGUGGAUUUUGUUGCUGAGGUGAACCACCGCAUUGUUCGUGGAGGCAGCCAUUUCAGCUUUAUCUAGUUUAUUUCUAGUUAUUUCUUUUAUUUUGGGUUUACAUGCCCGACACUCAAACUCAUGUAACUCUGUUAGAUGCUCCAUGGUCUUAGCGUAGGAUGUGGGCUAGAGAUUCUUUUUAUCUUAGCGUUGGUUGGUUUUCAUAAAUCGAUUAUGGAUUUGGUUGGCGACUA